rnacentral:rRNA from 1 species
AACGAACGCUGGCGGCAGGCUUAACACAUGCAAGUCGAGCGCCCCGCAAGGGGAGCGGCAGACGGGUGAGUAACGCGUGGGAAUCUACCCAUCUCUACGGAAUAACGCAUGGAAACGUGUGCUAAUACCGUAUACGUCCUUCGGGAGAAAGGUUUAUCGGAGAUGGAUGAGCCCGCGUUGGAUUAGCUAGUUGGUGGGGUAAAGGCCUACCAAGGCGACGUUCCAUAGCUGGUCUGAGAGGAUGAUCAGCCACACUGGGACUGAGACACGGCCCAGACUCCUACGGGAGGCAGCAGUGGGGAAUAUUGGACAAUGGGCGCAAGCCUGAUCCAGCCAUGCCGCGUGAGUGAUGAAGGCCCUAGGGUUGUAAAGCUCUUUCACCGGUGAAGAUAAUGACGGUAACCGGAGAAGAAGCCCCGGCUAACUUCGUGCCAGCCGCCGCCGUAAUAC